GCCUCUGUGGGUUGUCAUUUCGUCCAGUAUCUCAGCAUCAUAGAAAUCAUCUUCAUCACUUACUUCAUUCCUCAUAUCAGUUGGUUCUCCCUCCUUGAGCUUAAGACUCCGACUUCGUUUUGGCGUACCAGCAAUUUCUUCAUACUCAGCUGCAUCCAGUUCUUGAAGAUAACGAGGAUGGAACACCUUAGGAAAGAUAGAGUGCCUUAUGCCAAUGAGAAAGAAGAAUGGCAGUGGGAACAAUACUCCGCCAAUAGGUAUCCACGUCACCCCAAAACAAAUCAAAAGAUAUACAAAUUGGAAGAGUGUAAAUAUAGCAAUGUGCUUGAAUGGCACCAACUCCACGAAUGAAGCAUGAACACCUUCCAAAACUUUGUAACGCCGAUUUGGGGGAACGAAGAGCAGUAACAUCCUCUCCCAAAACUGAUUCCCUGGGAGACUAUCAAUUGCCAUGUAGGCAAAGUAACCCCAGAGAACUGAUGUAGGUAUUUUUUUUAUUAUAGGCAGAGCACAUGUUGAUAAUCCAACUAACAGUGAUUGUAAUAGGUUACUCAAUCUCUGCUCAUUAACUCGUACAGGCAAGUAAGCAUCAAUGUGUCUAUCAGGAUCAAAAUUUUCUUUUGCAUCACCUCUAUCAUCAGUUUUCAUUACAGCUUCUUUCAAGUCCGCCAACUCUUUAUCUACUGAAGCAGUAGGUGGAGCUGUGUCCAUUUCUAUAAACACAGCUUGCAUCCUUCCAUAAAUUUCUGAGUUGCUUGCUUUCCGCUCAAUGCAUUCC
rnacentral:misc_RNA from 1 species